ensembl:lncRNA
AUGUAUUCUUUUGGCAGACGAUUUUAUCCUAGGUAACCUGCAUUGAAUUAUACAGAAGAUAAACAUUCGGUUCAUUGGUGUCAGUAGUGCAAUUCUGUACUGUUUGAACUACAGGAACUUAACGUAACUUCUUCAGUCUAGGUUGUCACAAACACUAUAAAAUGGAAGAUUUCGCUUUUUUAGCAGUUCACUGCAGCCUGCCAUUCAGUAUUUUUUUUCUGAAUUUACACAAUGCUUUCAGGGAACGUAAAAAAUUGGCUUUUAUAAAACAGAGUAAAGAAAGAUAUGCUCUAAAGCGGAGUUAUCCACUGAGGUAUUUGUAAUGAGGAAAGAGUUUGCAGUGCAGGGAAGUCAUGAGUCAUGGUUAUUGGUCAGUUGUUUGGCACGAUCCAGAAUGUAGGCUUUCCCUCGAACAUCUCUCUUUCUGAAAAGAUCUUCACACACCUCCGUCAAUGUGAGAGUAAUGGGGAUUUUAUUUAUAUUGAUUGCCUCUAUUUCAAACUAUGAACAUCUUUGUUUAAUUCUGAAAAAUGGCCAUAUAAACACUGACUAUCAAGAAUGCGUCAUAGUAAACGCAGGGGGAAGUGGGAAAUAUUGCCAUUGCUCACACUAGAGCUCAAGCCCAGAUUCCACUGUUAGUCAUCAGACAAUAAAAAAGAGACUCUUUCAUACACUUAAGCCCUUCUGGUGCUGCUCACAGUGCAACAUGCUGAACAUUUUAUUUACCAAUAUGUCACCAUGUCCUCUUUGAUUGGAACCAAUAUUAAUUAUACAAAUUCAACACUGAGUCUCUCUAGUGUUACAGAUUUCAUGAAAGCAGGCAUAAUUCACCCACUCAACAAGUCAAAUAUUGUAAUAAUGGCAACAUCUUUGAUUUCCUCUUCAGAUUUUUGUUCCACUGUGUUCAGCUUGUGCUUAUCAGCUCAAUGGCACAUUUUGUGGUUGGAGGAAGGAGAUCUUACUAAUGGGGUGUAUGCGUCAUUUCUCUCACUGAUGGAAAGUAAUUUCUUCAAUGAGCUAAACUUGUUUGGACAUCUCUCAACAUCAUCCCUGUGUGGUAACUUCCACUCACGCACACACGACUUGAUACUUGAUAUAACCACGUACAUUGAGAAAACUCACACCCAGAGACCGCCAACCAUCAAACGACGACUGAUGGUUGAGAACAGCCACAAAAUACCACAGAUAAACAGUUCCUCGAUCUCACUAUAUUAAAGCCUUGUCUUUAGAUUAAACAACAGAAAGUUUAGAGACUAACGUGGUAUAUUCUUGGUCUGGUUCAGUUUACGGCCUGUAAGUGGAGAAAUUAAGUCUUCUUAAUUAAGGGGACUUCUAUUUUGUGCAUAUUUAAAAAUAAAGUUUCCAAUCUGACACCAAAAAGGGUUUUACAGACUUAUGCCAUUAUGGACAACAUUUUGAAGUCCUAUAAAAAACUUUUAAUUCUCUAGUAUUUUGGGAAACCAUUUAUGUACUGGUCAUUUAAAGCAGUGGUUUUAAACUGGUUUCUGCUUUAAAUGUAUUAAUAUGACCAGUAAUUGCAUAGGCCCAGCAGUAUUUCAAAAUUAUUAAUAAGACAUGGGCUGAAUCAUAAAUGGUCUCUUGAAUUUCAAUGGUUUUAUGCUCUUUGCAGCAAAUAAUACACUGUAUAAAACACAUUGUGGUCGACACAAACCAUGUCGAUCCUCACAGAAAUUAAAUACAUAUUUCAUUUAGUCAGAGUUAUAUUUUUUAUUAUGUUGUUUAAAAUGUUUGUGGUUUUUCAAGAUGAGGGUCACCUGUUUUCAACAUGGUCACCUGUCUGUGUUGACAUUUCUCUAAUUCUGCUAACUGUCUACUAUGUGACUGAUGAAUCUGAAAAAACAAAAUGCUGUCGAGUCUGGAUGACAUCAAAAACUAAAAAUUUGCUGUCCUGACUGUGCUUGUGGUUAGCUGCAUUGUAUUUAUUUUUAUUUUUUUUAAGGUUAUUUGCCAAAUCUAAACCACUAAGGAAAGUUUAUUUUUAAAGUGCAGGGAGCUAUUCUAUUCAAGAUUUUGGUCUAUAAUAUUGACAUAAAACAAUGUAACUGUCUUUAUUACGAAAAAUGUAACAUUUUCAAAGGCUUAAUUUCCUUUUAAAAAUCACUGAGUAAUUUAUUUCCAAAAUUUCAACAGUCCACAGGAAAUGCAUAAAGCUGAGUCACUGAAGUUUGCAACAAAUUUUAUUAGUCAAUAUUAGUCAAUGUGAGAUUCAGUUGCUGUUAUCUGCUUUUGAGGCACAUUGACGGAAAAUAGGGUGUGUGUGUGUGUUUUCAAACGCUUUCCUGGAUAUAACUGCUGUGUGAUUAAAAAACAAAGCAUAUUUUACCAGCUGAACCAACCCUUCACCCCUUGAGUAAACAUGGAGUCUCUUUCCGGACAGCAGUGAGCCAAUCCUUUGGGCAACCUUGACCCCAGACUCCAUUUCAACAGAUUACAGAUGAAGCAAUCACCACACAUGACUGAUGGCCAGUAAUACAAAUGACCACAGGAACAAUGCAUGAGGAAUCGUGUAGGUCACGAUGAACAGUCCAGAAAGGACUAAAUCAGAAUGUCUUUGUAUUUGGUUUGUCCAGCUUUUUCUUUAACAUCACUUGAGAAUGUUAAUGCCAGUUACGUCGGAGCAUCUGUACAAAGUUCACAUGAUCACAUAUAUGAAGCGUAGUGAUAGCUCUGGCAGGCCACGUUAGUCAAGCUCGCAUAAGGAUGACACUAAGCUGAUCCACGGCUACCUAUAGGAUCACGACACCAAUCAUAAUUCCCUUCAUAAGGUCCCUUAAGUCAUUAUUCAGCAGCUAUCGCUCGCUCAUGAACUAAUCACCCACCUCCAUCCCCAGCUCCUCCUCUCGUCCAGUCAGGACUUGGCAGUGAAUAUAUCAUUGAGUCAGACUACUGAAUCAUGUUGUUAAAAUAAUCACGUACUGUAGAACAUUAAUGGUAUCUGCUACAUUUAUCAUUGAUGUUGGUUCUGUUCUGUCACCCUGAGGGGGAGGGGAGAGGGGGUAUGUUCUGCUCUCCCUGCUCCUAUCCAUGCUAGGCUGCGUGGAUGGGCAGGGAGCAUUUGUCCAGAACAGAACCAUUCCCCCAACCAAAAAUGUAUGCUAAUCAUAAGUUAUAUUGAUGAUAGUGGUCCUGACUGAAUUACAGUUGCAAGAAAAAGUUUGUAAACCCUAUGGAAUUAAUUGCAAUUCUUAGCUAAUUACUCCUAAAAUGUGGCCUGGUCUACACCUAAUUCGCACUUGUAGACAAACACAAUCUGAUUGAACUUAUAAGACCAAAGUAUAAAAUUUGUGUUUGGGAUAUUAAGUAAUUAUUUACAGUAAAGGCUGAUAAAAGUAAGGGAAUCUGCAUGGUAAUGACUUUUCCAAAGGGUAAUUUUGUCAGGUGGUCUAGAAAUUAUGUAGUUUUAAAAUGUAUUUUGUCUUUAUUUCUUAGUUUUAAUUUGUUUUAAAUCCUGGAACUUUGUUUAUUUCCAGAUUUAAAUACAAAUAAACUUUGAUUAUUAUUAUGGUCUCUGAUUUGCAGACUUUUGCACUGCAGUUAGCUAUUAAGUUUUUUGUACAAUAGCAGUGUCUCUUAACUUUACUGGGUUGUGACCUGUUUACAGACCUUUGUGCCAUAGCCGUAUUGUAUUUGAACUUGCUUUAUCUUUUUGAAAAUCCUUCCUGUAUAGUACAAAUGAAAUAUAAUUAGUCUUCCUGUUUACCGCUGCAGAUUUAAAUAGCAUGAAGAUAUGAAUGUACUUUGUUUUGACAAUUUUACACAUGUAUGCAUACGCACAAACAUGUCUAUAUGCAUUUCACAAAUCAAAAGUCAAAGUGGGACUAGUAACAAAAGGGUAUUUGUGAGUUUUUAUCUCACAGUUCUGACUUUUUUCUUGCAAUUGUGAGUUUAUAUCAAUUUCAAGUUUAUAUUAAUUUUAACAAUUGCAAGAAAAGCCAGAUUUUUUUUUUUUUUUUCUGUGACAGAAACCUCCAAUGGUUAACGUUUGAGUCAGGAUGAGUGCUAAUGAUGGAAACGAGUGGCGUGAGAGGGCACAUCUGUUCCUAAGAGUGACUCACAUCUCUCUCUCGUCUGUCUCAUAGCCUGUGUGAGCUGUCCUGGAAAUCAAAAGUUCCUUAAUCCAUGAGAACUAAAGGAAGACGGCGUCCACAGCGGAUUUCGUCCAUUUUGUGUUCCUUUCUGUCUUUUGUUUGUCUGUGUGUGCGUAUUUAUACUUACCGUAAAACUCCAACUGUCAAAGGUUUAUCAUUAAUUCUGUGAGUCUCAGUGGGUGGUCUGCUACAAUUUCCCACAUUUACAGUACGUUUCUGUGGUUUCUUUCUUUCUGGUGGUUUAGAUAUGAUCUCCACAAACCAGUGUCUCUCAUUGAAACUUCAGUGAAGCCCAAAGCUCUGUCUGGGACUUCUGGACCACAUGUGUGAGAAUGAGUCAUAGAAAACCUUAACAUUUGCCAUUGUUAACAUCAUCACUAUUAAAACCCUCCUGCUCCCCUUCUCUUUUUUUCUGUAUUUUUCUCUUCAGGUGAUUAUUCAACAUCUUUCCUUUCCUGACCUUGUUGUGAGUCCUCAGCUCCACUCUGAACUGGGGUCAAAAAACUUGAAGCCAAUCAUCAAAUAAAUGACGUAAUAUAUUUUCUCCUGACUUACUGAUGAUAAUUUUUAAAAAGCCCUGGAGGAUUGAAGAGUGUACGCUUAGUAACAAUGGUCUGUCCUGAUUUUUUACUUAAACUGUUUAUAAUAAUCUAUAUUCUUUCUUAAUUUGAACAUGCAGCCAUUGUGUCUCAGCAUAAAUUACUGAAAAACAAACUGAACUGAAAAACUAAAAAUUUUAAGGCCAUUAUAAUUUUGACAGUGACCCUGUUCACUUUGUACAGAUUUUACAACUUUGCAUUAUAAUGGAAAUUAUUGCAUUUAGCUUUAUUGCAAAAUAAUAAAAACUAUCAAUAAUCUAAGAGCUUUGGACUAUAAUAUGUGCUUUAUCACAGUUAGAAAUGAUUGAAAUAAACUUUGGCCAAGCAUUUUUAUCUAACACAUUAUUUAUUCAGCCAUUUGUGUGUGUUUUUAUGACAUCAUCUCUAUUAAUUCUAACAACCUAAAGAGGAAUUUAGAGUUUUGCUCUCAAAAAUCUGAUAUGUGCUCCUUAGAGCUUGUAUAUGUUGCAACUUACAUCCUAACAUGCUGCAAUGCAGUUAUUUUCCAGCAAUUCGUUUUUCGGGGAAACGUUGUGCCAUGUGUGAUUCUGAAAGAAAAUGUUAAGUAAACAAAGCGAUUUGCUUGCUCAUUUGUUACUGUGUGUUAAGAAAUCUCAGCCUACAUGAAAUAUAAUUCAUUUGUCCGUGUGGCCCCAGCACUGCCAUUGCCAUGGAAACAGCUGUGUUGUUUUGGAACGUUUGCAUAUGUUCCCGGAUAAGUGGACUCAGUGCUGUAAGAUCAAUGUUUUUAAAAGAAUGGAGCAGCUGUUAUUGGCUGCCCCCGCUGUGGCGUCACAGAGAAAAUGCAGCACUUCCGAGCUCCUGGCCUGUUACAAUCAUCACUGCUCCUUGUGGAAUUUGGCCUAUAUUUUUAUGCAGAGAGUAUUAUGCUUAUUUAGUUUAAUCUGUCUGAAUUUAUGUGUGAGGAAAGUAUAGAGAAUGCUGGCUUUCUGUGGUUGUGCCGAGAUGUUUGACCUACAAAGUCUCAUUAAAAUGGUGUGAUUGUGGUGUUGUGUUAGUGACUAUUUUUGACUAUUGCAGCUACACCCUUUACUAACAGGUGCAUAAAAUCAAGCAUGCAGCCAUGCAGUCUCCUUAGACAAACAUUUACAGUAGAAUGGGGCACUUUUUGUUCCAGUAUGAAACAAAGUCCAUAAAGAAAUGGUUUACUGAGUGUGGUAUGGAAGAAUUUGAC